rnacentral:rRNA from 1 species
UAGAGUCUGACCUGGCUCAGGAUGAACGCUGGCGGUCUGCUUAACACAUGCAAGUCGAACGGGCUCUUCGGAGCUAGUGGCGGACGGGUGAGUAACGCGUGAGGAUCUGCCUUCAGGAGGGGGAUAACGACUGGAAACGGUCGCUAAUACCGCAUAUGCCUACGGGUGAAAGAUUUAUCGCCUGGAGAUGAACUCGCGUCAGAUUAGCUAGUUGGUGGGGUAAGAGCCUACCAAGGCGACGAUCUGUAGCUGGUCUGAGAGGAUGAUCAGCCACACUGGGACUGAGACACGGCCCAGACUCCUACGGGAGGCAGCAGUGGGGAAUUUUCCGCAAUGGGCGCAAGCCUGACGGAGCAAGACCGCGUGCGGGAUGACGGCCUAAUGGUUGUAAACCGCUUUUCUCUGGGAAGAUGAUGACGGUACCAGAGGAAUCAGCCUCGGCUAACUCCGUGCCAGCAGCCGCGGUAAUACGGAGGAGGCAAGCGUUAUCCGGAAUUAUUGGGCGUAAAGCGUCCGUAGGUGGUUAUUCAAGUCUGCUGUCAAAGCGUGGGGCUUAACUCCAUAGAGGCAGUGGAAACUGGAUGACUUGAGUGCGGUAGGGGUCGAGGGAAUUCCCAGUGUAGCGGUGAAAUGCGUAGAUAUUGGGAAGAACACCAGUGGCGAAAGCGCUCGACUGGGCCUGCACUGACACUGAGGGACGAAAGCUAGGGGAGCGAAAGGGAUUAGAUACCCCUGUAGUCCUAGCCGUAAACGAUGGAUACUAGGUGUUGCUCGUCAUCGACCCGAGCAGUGCCGUAGCCAACGCGUUAAGUAUCCCGCCUGGGGAGUACGCUCGCAAGAGUGAAACUCCAAAGGAAUUUGACGGGGGCCCGAACAAGCGGUGGAGU